rnacentral:rRNA from 1 species
UUCCGGUUGAUCCUGCCAGAGGUUACUGCUAUCGAGGUUCGACUAAGCCAUGCGAGUCGAAUGUAGCAAUACAUGGCGUACUGCUCAGUAACACGUGGACAACCUGCCCUUAGGUCGGGUAUAAACCCGGGAAACUGGGUAUAAUCCCCUAUAAGUCUCGGCUGCUGGAAUGCACCGAGAUUAAAAGCUCCGGCGCCUAAGGAUGGGUCUGCGGCCUAUCAGGUAGUAGUGGGUGUAGCGUACCUACUAGCCUACGACGGGUACGGGUUGUGAGAGCAAGAGCCCGGAGAUGGAUUCUGAGACACGAAUCCAGGCCCUACGGGGUGCAGCAGGCGCGAAAACUUUACAAUGCUGGCAACAGCGAUAAGGGAACCUCGAGUGCCAGGUUACAAAUCUGGCUGUCGAGAUGCCUAAAAAGCAUUUCAUAGCAAGGGCCGGGCAAGACCGGUGCCAGCCGCCGCGGUAACACCGGCGGCUCGAGUGGUAACCGUUAUUAUUGGGUCUAAAGGGUCUGUAGCCGGCCGGAUAAGUCUCUUGAGAAAUCUGGCAGCUUAACUGUCAGGCUUUCAGGAGAUACUGUCUGGCUCGAGGCCGGGAGAGGUGAGAGGUACUUCAGGGGUAGGGGUGAAAUCUUGUAAUCCUUGAAGGACCACCAGUGGCGAAGGCGUCUCACCAGAACGGACCUGACGGCAAGGGACGAAAGCUAGGGGCACGAACCGGAUUAGAUACCCGGGUAGUCCUAGCCGUAAACGAUACUCGCCAGGUGUCGGCCACGGUGCGACCGUUGUCGGUGCCGUAGGGAAGCCGUGAAGCGAGCCACCUGGGAAGUACGGCCGCAAGGCUGAAACUUAAAGGAAUUGGCGGGA